GGAAUCUUCCACAAUGGGCGCGAAGCCUGAUGGAGCAACACCGCGUGAGUGAAGAAGGGUUUCGGCUCGUAAAGCUCUGUUGUUAAAGAAGAACGUGGGUAAGAGUAACUGUUUACCCAGUGACGGUAUUUAACCAGAAAGCCACGGCUAACUACGUGCCAG
rnacentral:rRNA from 1 species